AUGGCAAUAUGUUCAAUAGGAGAUGGAAGAACUGCCCUUUUUUGGUCUGAUCUUUGGCACACAACAUGCAUGCACCAAUCCUUCCCACAUCUAUACUCUUUUGUAAAAUACCAGAUCUCUUCAGUGUAGAGGGUUUUGUAGCAUCAAUAUUUGGAAGACCUAUUUCAUCUGCCACUUAUUGAGCAAGCUUUUGUGGAAUUUGAAUUGAUGGAAGAAAUUUGCGACAACCUAAGAAGAUCUGAAUACAAAGACCACUUGGAUUCAUGGAGCUACAUGUGGGGAAAUGCUACUUUCUCUAUGGCCAAGGCUUACAAAAUUAUGAUAGGAGUUAAAGUGGUGCCAGAACAAUUCAAGUGGAUUUGGAAGAGCUCUUGCCAGCCAAAACACAAGGUGUUUUUCUGGAGACUGCUUCAUGAUAGGCUGAAUAUAAGGAAUCUUCUUAGGAGGAAAACUUUUCAUCUGGAUAACUACAAUUGUGCUAAUCUUAACUGCCAACAGGAAGAAACACUUCAAUAUCUAUUCUGGACUUGUCCCUUUGCUACAGAAUAUUAG
rnacentral:rRNA from 1 species